rnacentral:tRNA from 1 species
GAUGAAGUAACUCAAUUGGUAGAGUAUUGGAAUCAUAAUCCAUUUGUUGCAGGUUCAAGUCCUGUUUUCAUCU